rnacentral:rRNA from 1 species
GCAACCCUCAUCCUUAGUUACCAACAGGUAAUGCUGGGCACUCUAAGGAAACUGCCAGUGAUAAACUGGAGGAAGGUGGGGAUGAUGUCAAGUCAGCACGGCCCUUAUAGGGUGGGCUACACACGUGCUACAAUGGCAACUACAAUAGGUUGCGAGACCGCGAGGUUUAGCUAAUCCAAAAAAGUUGUCUCAGUUCGGAUUGUUCUCUGCAACUCGAGAGCAUGAAGUCGGAAUCGCUAGUAAUCGUGGAUCAUCAUGCCACGGUGAAUACGUUCUCGGGUCUUGUACACACUGCCCGUCACGCCAUGGGAAUUGGCUUAACUCGAAGCUGGUGUGCUAACCGUAAGGAAGCAGCCAUUUAAGGUUGGGUUAGUGACUAGGGUGAAGUCGUAACAA